AUACGGAGGGAGCUAGCGUUGUUCGGGAUUACUGGGCGUAAAGCGCGCGUAGGCGGCUAUUCAAGUCAGAGGUGAAAUCCCAGGGCUCAACCCUGGAACUGCCUUUGAAACUAGAUAGCUAGAAUAUUGGAGAGGUCAGUGGAAUUCCGAGUGUAGAGGUGAAAUUCGUAGAUAUUCGGAAGAACACCAGUGGCGAAGGCGACUGACUGGACAAUUAUUGACGCUGAGGUGCGAAAGCGUGGGGAGCAAACAGGAUUAGAUUCCCUGGUAGUCCACGCCGUAAACGAUGAUAACUAGCUGUUCGGGCUCAUAGAGCUUGAGUGGCGCAGCUAACGCAUUAAGUUAUCCGCCUGGGGAGUACGGUCGCAAGAUUAAAACUCAAAGGAAUUGACGGGGACCCGCACAAGUAGUGGAGCAUGUGGUUUAAUUCGAAGAUACGCGCAGAACCUUACCAACACUUGACAUGUUCGUCGCGACUCUAAGAGAUUAGAGUUUUCGGUUCGGCCGGAC
rnacentral:rRNA from 1 species